AGCCACUUCAUUGGGGAGUAGCCGCCUUUUACGCAAGUUAAAAGGGUGAUGGUCAACAUAUUUGCUCAACCGAGCAUGGUCAUCAUAGCAAAGAACCAAAUGAGCUUAUUUAAAGCUUAUUUUUGUUGGCAAGACCUUUGAU
rnacentral:sRNA from 2 species